rnacentral:rRNA from 1 species
UACAGAGGGUGCAAGCGUUAAUCGGAUUUACUGGGCGUAAAGCGUGCGUAGGCGGUUCGCUAAGUCGGUUGUGAAAUCCCUGGGCUUAACCUGGGAACUGCAGUCGAUACUGGCGGACUAGAAUGCGGUAGAGGGUGGCGGAACUCCGGGUGUAGCGGUGAAAUGCGUAGAUAUAGGAAGGAACACCAGUGGCGAAGGCGACUACCUGGACUGAUACUGACACUGAGGUGCGAAAGCGUGGGGAGCAAACAGG